CUUCGUUCAGGGCUCAGUUCAGCGCUCCCUGAACUGUCUGAGGAGCUGGAGUUGCUCCCUCCGCAGGCACGUUUCUGUCUGCAGGUUUAUCCUGUUCAGUAGGUCAGGGUUUGUUACUGACAACCAUGACCUGCUGUGAGCCCUUCUGCGAGUGUGGAGCUGGGGGGCAAGAAGGGCAGCCUUAGCUGUGCCAACGCUUCGUCCUGUCAGGGCAUUUGCACGCCAAAGGCAAAGAAGAAAAAAUGUCCAAAUCAUUAAAGAACUACAUUACUAUUAAGCCAUCGACUACAGUGACAGCGCCAUGCUCCAAGCUCAGCAGCUGCUCCUGGGGCUGGGCUCUUUCCUGGAGGACGCACGUGCCUACAUGAAGGGGCAGCUGGCCUGCGGCUCCGUCAGGGAAGCGAUGCUGUGGGAGAGGUAAGAGGCCCGCCUAGCACCCGGCGUGGCACCCCUCCUGUGGCCUGCUGGGUGCUGCUGGUGGGCUCUUGAAGGGGAAGAGGGGCCCCCAGGAGACAGGGCGCUGGACAGGAGGUUUGGGGUCAGGGACUGCCCAGAGAGGCCCCAGGAGACAGGGUGCUGGGCAGGAGGUGCAGGUGUGGGGUCAGGGGCUCCCCAGAGGCCACAGGGGACUGGGAGCUGGACAGGAGGUGUGGGGUCAGGGGCUCCCCAGAGGCCACAGGACACUGGGUGCUGGACAGGAGGUGUGGGGUCAGGGGCUCCCGAGACAUCCCAGGGAGACGGCGCUGGCAGGAAGUGUGCCUGGGGCCCUCGGGCUCUGAGCCCCCUGCUCAGAGUGGCUUUGGGCUCGGGUUCCCUGUGCGAGGAGCGGAGCUGCUCAUCCCUCCCAGUCCUGACUGUGAGGAGCCAAAAUCUAUAAAACACACAGGCCUGGGCCCACAGCAUCGCCUCCACUCCCCACCCACGGGUGUCCUGGGCAGCGCUGCACAUUCAUCCCGGCAUGCAGAGUCUUCCGGAUGGUCUUGGUGAUAACCCACCCCUGCCACUUCAGCAGGGUAGGCAGCCAGUGGCCACGGGAGGCUGAGAUCCGGGA
rnacentral:lncRNA from 1 species